AGGUAUUCCAACAUAUAGGAAAUUUUAUUGGACCCAAUCACCAAAAAAACAAUGUUUCGACCCCUUAGGGCCUUUGUCAAGCUAUUGCACCCAGGAUUCCAGGACGAGGGAUUGUGUGCAUUUCCAUUACCUAUACUAGGGACACAGAGACAUAGGGACACAGACACUGGGAGACAUGGGGACACUGAGAUAUUUGGGGACACAGAGACAUGGCAACACAGACACUGGGAGACUAGGGGACCCUGGGAGACAUGGGAACACAGACACUAGCUGGGGGACAUAGGGACACUGAGAGACAUGGAGACAUUGAGCCACUAGGGACACUGGCUGGGAGACAUGUGGACAAAGACAUUUGGAGACAUUGGAGACACUAGGAGCCACGGGGACACUGAGGCACUAGGGACACUGGCUGGGAGACAUGGAGACACUGUGUCCCAAUGUGUCGCCCAAUGUGUCUCAGCAUCCCCAUGUCUCACAGUGUCCCCUAG